rnacentral:lncRNA from 1 species
GGGAGACUCCGCGCCUCCCGGUCCUCGGAGCGGUCGAGGGGCCAGCCAAUGGGAGAGGGGGGCGGGGCCUGGGCGCGGCAGGGGCGGGGCCGCCCCGAGAUUUGCGGAGCGUCGCCCCGAGCGGGAGGCUGAGCUGGGGGUUGCCGCCGCCUGGGCUCCCGGUUCCGGGCGGCCCCGUGCGCGAGCGCAGGUACGGUCCUCGGGCGCCGGCUGCUUUCUGGAUCGCUUUACUGCAAAAGGUGGCUGUUAUGAACCCUGCUGGACCUCGAGAGUUUGACUUAGGACCCGUUGCGAGAGCAAAUCAUGGCCUUUAGGGAUGCUCGUACCAGAAGACUUCCAGUCCACGUUUUUAUUAGUGAUCAGAAGGUUCCCUGCCCCCACCCCGACGUGAGUGCAGUGAUGAAACGAAUACUGAGCAGGUACAUGUGGCAGGGCGGUUAAUCCGGACAGCAAUCCCAUAAGGAAGCGUCUGUUAUCCCCGUUUGUACAACCGGUCAACUAGUCCAGAGAAGUGCUGUUUGUUCUGUGCUACUUUUAGAAGAAGCCCCCCCCUGCAAAUAGAAGUCAGUGGUGAUCGCAUUAUUCUCCAGAGGACCUGGGCUUCUACUUCAGAGAGAGAAUGAGGACCAUCAAGCACGGAUGUCUACAAUUUUUGCCCAACCAUCUCAUCCAAACCCCACAAAUUACCUAUAUCCACACCCAGGUUUGCUAGCUUUCCUGUGUCUCGCAGGCUGGGUGUCCCCGCUUUUCUCUGAAGCAAACGUCUCCGCUGUCUGCUCCCACCUGUGACCGCCUCUUUGACGCAUCUUUAACCUUGUCCUUUCUAUUGGGUACAACUCUGCAGCACAGUCACAUUUUAAGACUUUUCUGCCUUAAAUUUUCCCAUGAUUUUACAACCUCGUUCUAGUUCUCUCUUCUUUCAUCAUAAUUAAGCUUUUGAAAGAAUUUUGUACCAAGAGCAGCGUUGACCCUCCAUGAAUAUUUUUAGGAUUCAAUAAAUAUCUUCUGACUGAAUGAAUGUACAUUCUCCUCUCCGUUGCAUCAGCUCCUACCCUCUGACUUCAUACCUGGAUUUGAAGCACACUAUAUCCACAAUAAUUCUAAAAUAGGCAUCUGAACAUGUUGCUCCACUGCUUAAAAUCUUUCACUGGCUCAUCGGAACUUUCAAGACAAAGAUUAACAGGGUCUUCAAGGCUCCUUUCAUGCUUGCAUGCUCUGUCUCUCCUGUUAUGCCAAACUCUUCAGAGUCCCCUGAUUGCGCGCGCUCAUCUCUGCUUUAAUGAGUACUGUUUCCUCUGACCUUUUCCUUAGCUUUUUGCUGGUCCAGACCAUUUGAAAGUAAAUCCAAGAACACGCUUACAAGCGCGUUCUCAGCCGUCACACCUGCGUACCCAGCAGAAGUCUGCACACCACCUGCAGAACGCUUCCAGGCCUCCUGCUUCCAUCUCUGCCAUGUCUCACUUUCAGCUCUCCUGAGUCCUCAGUUUCCCUCCUCAGUUCAGCUCCAUUCAGAAGCUGCUAAUAUUCACCUAGGCCCCAAAGUUGACAGCCAAUAUUGAACCAACCUUUUAUUAUUAAAUAUUUCUUUGGUUUCAAAUGAACACUAUUAUAAAUAUCUUUUCAUAAAUCCUUGUCCAUGUCCUUACUGCCUCAAGUCCUGAAAAGUAAUCAAAGGUAUGAACACUUUUAGCCUUUUAGAAACAUGUUGGCAAGCUGCCUUCCAGGAAGAACAUAGGCUCAAGUGUCACAUGGCCUGGGGUCAAAUCGCAGUUCUGCCACCUGGGGCCACGUUCUGAUUUUCAUGGGCCCUAGAUGCUUUUACCUUUGUGGCCACUUCUGCCACAAAAUAAUAUUAAAAAUUAUAUUUAUAACUGCAUUGGUUUAAGGACAGCAUAUUGAUGUUAUAUAGUAAAAUGUUUUCUUUGACCAUAGCAUUCAUUUUUUUUCUUCUGAUUUUAAAAGAAGUUAAAACAUUUUAUGGGCGUCUGAAAUUGUGGUGAGCCUGAGGCACUGUGCCCACUGUGACAAUUGGAUAAGUCAACCCUGCUGCGACCUACAGGCUAUGAGAUUUGGCCAAAUUCCUUAAUCUGGCUGUGCCUCAACCAGAAAAUUGGUGUAACGCGGCCAUAUGAUGUUGUAGCAAAAAGUAAAUAAGUUGUUACAAAUAAAAUACUUAGAAGUACAUGGCACAUAAUCAAUACGUUACCGUCAUUAUAACUUUUAGUCUCAAUUUUCCCACAGAGGUAUAUGAGAGUAUACGAUUGUCCUUCUUCACUGUGCCAAAGUCAUCAUGGUGUAUUUUUAUAUGGGCAAAUAUGGUUUCUUAUUGUUGGCUCAUUGUCCAUUUUCUUACUGGGGUAUUCACAAAAAGUCACUUUAUAUGAUGUAGAUAUUGAUCCUAGAUAAAGCUAUUGGUCUUUUCCAUUUUUGUUUCCUUCUAUUAUUUUUUGCUUCACAAGUCCUUUCCCAUCCUGAGAUCAUAUCAAUUAUCUGCCUUUAUUUUUACUACGUGUUUGGUAAUUUUGACUUUUCCGUUAAAUAAUUUAAUCCUUUGGGAUUUAUUUUGGAGUGAUGAUCUACCUUUCAUUUUCUCGAAAUGGCUGACGGUCUUCCCCAGCUCAUUUUCUAAAGAAUCCUUCUCCAAGUAUGAUGGUUUUAAAAUAUGUAUGCCCACAAAUUCAUCGAUAUUCCUUCCUUCAAAAAGUGGAGACUAAUUCCCUUCCAAGUGAAUGUGGGCUGUACUUAGUGACUUGCUCCUAAAGGAUACAAUAUAGCAGAAGUGACACUGUGGCCAUCUUAAAAAGGUAUCGUGGCUCCUCCCUACCCCCUCUCAGAUCACUUGCUCUGGGGAAGGCAGUUACCAUGUCAUGAAGACAUUAUCAAGUAGCUUUAUCAGACGCCCAUGUGUCAAAGAGCUGAAUAUCCUGCCAACAACCAGCAAGAAUCUGCAGCCUCUGCCAAUCUCCAUGUGACUGAGCCAUCUUGGAAGCAGGCCUUGGGAUGAUGCAGACAUCUUGACUGCAACCUCAAUAGAGACCUUGAACAAGAACCCCCAGCUGAGUCGCUCCCAAAUGCCUGACCCAUAGUAACUGUUCCAUCUGCACCCUCUAGAGUGGAAAGUUUUUGAGACCAGCUGUUUUAUCUCCUGUGUUCACUGCUGUGUCUCCAGUGCCUAAGACAGAGCCUGACAUACAAUGGGUGCUGAGCUGGAUAACUCUCCACAGAUGAUCCCUUGACUAUACUCUUAGCACCAACACUUGACAAUAGUUGAACAGUGAUGAGUUCUUGACCCAAAGGUGUUCAUCUUAAAAUCAGCCUGUAGCUUAUGACACGGCCUGGAAUAAGGGCUCUGCGGACAGUCUCCUGGAAGAUGAUAGCAGUGUCAGACACUCAGAGAGAGAUACAGAUAACAGAAUGGCAUGGAAACAAAGAGGCUUUACAGAAAGAAGCAGUGAUCAGAAGCCGUGAGGUAAAAGUAAAAAGCCAGGUGGAAGUGGCAGUGAAAUAGAAACAGCCAUGGUAGAAGUAAAGAUAAGUUUAGCCACAAAUAUGGAGGAGAAGCUAGAGUAGAGAGCAACGGGCACUUGCUGCUGAGGGGUCAUCGGACGAACAGGACUCGCAGCUGGAUUAUUAUAAUUGUGGAGACACUGCGCACCUGAGCAUCCUGACUGGCAUUCCAGUUUCCCUGGAGACCUGGCCAUAUGACUGUUGAGAGGCGGUUUGUUCAUAUGUCCCUUUGUAUCAACUGAAAUUACCUACGUAUGGCUUUUUUGCUGCCUGAAAAGACCCAACUAAUGCAAGUAUUUUUUAAAAAUAUUGCUAGAUUUAAUUUUCCACUCUUCGUUUGGAGGAUUUAGCUAUAGUUUUUCUUCUGUGUGUGUGUGUAUGUGUGCACACGUGCAUGUGCACGCAAUAUGUGCAUACUAACUUUGUAGGUUAAAUUUUUUCUGUUACAUCCUGUUAACUUCUCUGGUGGGCCCUCUAUAUUAUCUGCCUUCUCAGUGAUACUUUGCUAGGUUUGGCAAAAUUACUUGCAAUUUACAGGUGCUAUUGUUGCAUAACUUUCCUUUACCCUUGUAUUUGAUGAGUGUAUCUCAGAUAGAGAAUCUGUGUUUUGUUAAUCCAUUGCUUUGUGAAACUGAGUGCCAAAUUCCAAAUAAAAAUUCAAAACUUUUAAACACUGUAGUGCAUUUCUUAGCGAACUCUACUUUCUGAAGUAUCCAGAAUUCACCAUAUGGAAAUGUUAUACAAUUUCUCUUGAACAGGUUUGUUUAUAAAGUUUAGUAUCGUGGUGAGUUCAGGAAUCCAGGUGUCCAAAGAUUGGUUGUAUUAAUGACCCCGCUAAAUGGCCUCCGUAAAUCCAUAAUGUUUGUUCUAUAACCUUCAAGUUCCCUCCAACUCGGGGUCUAGGCUUGGGUACGUGACUGGCUUUGGUAAUAGGAUGUUAGCCAGCAUGACGUAAGAAGAGACUUGGAAAGUGUAUGUGCUUUUUGCUGCUUUUUUGUGUGAUUGGCCCGGCUCACCAUUCCCCUCUGCUGUGAUGUGAGAACAUGCCUGGGCUAGCCUGCAGGAAGGAUGUGAGAGGCAUGUGGAAGAGAGCUGUGCUGUUCCAGACAACCCAGCUAGAGCAUUCUAGAUCAGCCGACUGCCAGCUAGCCCUCAGAGUGGGGAGGAAAUCCAGCUGAGACCAGAAGAACAUUCCAGCUAAACCAUUCAAAAUUGUUCACCUGUAGUGAGCAAAAUAAAUGCUUAUUAUUUUAAGGAACUGUGUUUGGGAUGGUUUGUUACAAAGCAUUAUUGUGGCAAUAGAUAAUACCGAGAUGCUGAAAUAGUGGUUAAUCAAUGAGGAGACCUCCCUGUGUAUUUGAGGUGCCAAGUCAGCAAUAAUAUUCACAGAUGGUCGAUAUUUUCAUAUAUUCAUAUCUCUUUUUGUUUUCUUCUGUCUCUGGAAAAACUCCUUUACUGCCCCAGGAACAGUAAUGGUACCAGAGAAUGUUUCCCUCUGGCACUGUAGUAGCGUUUUAGGCACUAGGCAUGUCAAAAAAUAUGUCUGACUUUGCUCAUGGUGCGGUGUUUUGAUAUUUGAAGUGUUAAGAAGGUAAAUGGAUUUUAUUUGACUGGAAUGGUAAAGAUAAGACAUUCUCUGCCUCAAAUACUUGCCUGGAUUUAAGUCGUUGGUAAGAAGAAAAAAAAUAAUUAGGCUGGUGAAUGCUUUCAGUUAUGCCCUUUCCUGAUGACUCAUAGAUUUUAGAAUGCCUUUAAAGAAAUCUUGGAAAUACAGGCUGUCAGGUGAAGUCCUUGCUCUUAUAUUAGGCAAAUAUAGGUUUUUAAAAAGAAAACACAGAGGCUCCAGUUCAAGUUAACAAACAUUUAUUGAUCUCCUCUUACGUACCAGGCAUUAUAAAUACAAAAUCAGUGAAAAUACCCUCUGCACUAGACGAACUUAGAAUUCAGAAAAGAGACAGACAAAUAAAUCACGAUUCCAAUAUUCUAUGGUAAGCACAAUGAAGGCUCAUGCACACAAAGCUUAUGGUGGUCGAGGGGGUGGGGAUGGCAGGCCAGGUUUGUGUUUAAGGAAUUUAAAGGAUGAGUAGAUUUAGGCAAGUAAAAGAAGCGCUUCGCUGAGAAAGGAUUCCAGCAAGGAGCAAUAGCAUGAACAAUGACAUGGAAUGUGGAGCAGCAUGAUUACAUGGGAAACCACAGAACACAAUGGGGGACUGGGAGUUAUACUUGCCAAAAUAUAAUCAAAGUCCUGUUAGGUAUUUGCUUAUGUUUUCAAAUGUGCAAUUAUUUUUGAUAAUAGAGUUUUUGUUUUACACGAAAGUAAUCUUUGAGUAUCUUCUGGAUUUCUGUGAAUUCCGUGUGGACAGGGACCAAGUUCAUCUUCUCUCCUGCAUCUCAGCACCAGCACAGUGCCUGACACUUUGUACAGAUGCAAUACGUGUUUGUUGAGCAAAUUACUGAAUUCUCGAAACUGUCAGCCUUUGCCAAAGUCCUAUAGAAAUUUGUCUUUUAAAUUGUUCUUUUUAAUGUACUCAUAAAGAUGUAUUUUCUUGAAUAAUUUGUCUUUCUCAAAUUGUCUUCAAUAAAGGAUAGCUAAAUCUUCUGAUUUAUAAUUCUCCCUAUUUUUUUCUUUCAGUUUUAUUGAGAUAUAACUGACAUACAGCCCUGUAUAG